AUAUUGGGCGUAAGAGCUCGUAGGCGGUUUGUCGCGUCUGCUGUGAAAUCCCGAGGCUCAACCUCGGGUCUGCAGUGGGUACGGGCAGACUAGAGUGCGGUAGGGGAGAUUGGAAUUCCUGGUGUAGCGGUGGAAUGCGCAGAUAUCAGGAGGAACACCGAUGGCGAAGGCAGAUCUCUGGGCCGUUACUGACGCUGAGGAGCGAAAGGGUGGGGAGCAAACAGGCUUAGAUACCCUGGUAGUCCACCCCGUAAACGUUGGGAACUAGUUGUGGGGUCCAUUCCACGGAUUCCGUGACGCAGCUAACGCAUUAAGUUCCCCGCCUGGGGAGUACGGCCGCAAGGCUAAAACUCAAAGGAAUUGACGGGGACCCGCACAAGCGGCGGAGCAUGCGGAUUAAUUCGAUGCAACGCGAAGAACCUUACCAAGGCUUGACAUAUACGAGAACGGGCCAGAAAUGGUCAACUCUUUGGACACUCGUAAACAGGUGGUGCAUGGUUGUCGUCAGCUCGUGUCGUGAGAUGUUGGGUUAAGUCCCGCAACGAGCGCAACCCUCGUUCUAUGUUGCCAGCACGUAAUGGUGGGAACUCAUGGGAUACUGCCGGGGUCAACUCGGAGGAAGGUGGGGAUGACGUCAAAUCAUCAUGCCCCUUAUGUCUUGGGCUUCACGCAUGCUACAAUGGCCGGUACAAAGGGCUGCAAUACCGUGAGGUGGAGCGAAUCCCAAAAAGCCGGUCCCAGUUCGGAUUGAGGUCUGCAACUCGACCUCAUGAAGUCGGAGUCGCUAGUAAUCGCAGAUCAGCAACGCUGCGGUGAAUACGUUCCCGGGUCUUGUACACACCGCCCGUCAAGUCAUGAAAGUCG
rnacentral:rRNA from 2 species